CAUCAGAAGGGGAAAGAAAAGGAAACUACCUGAGCCAGAUCUUUACUCACUCAGGAUCAUCCCUCUUAGGGGAAACACGUGCAGAUCCUGAUUCCUCCUUCAAUGUGUCUUGGUGUCGAGUUAAUGAGGCGACAUUCUGGGCAGGAUUUCUUUUAACCCGCUGUGUGACAGCAUUUAUGAUGCACAAGUGCCUGGAAGGUUUGGAGCUUUAGGAAACUGCAAAGAGAGAUGUGAAAACAGACUUCAGGUUCCUGAAUCUGAAUUUAUCCUAACUACAGGUGGGAGCCACAUGCCCAGCCUCUGAAAAGCUUUGAGAAAUUUGUGUUGCUUGAUGUUACGUCACGUUACCUGCACAAUGAUGCAGAAAAGGAUGACAAAUGCAGGGGAUGUUCCUGGACUAUUUGGUCAUGAAGGAGAAACGUUCAAAGAAAAAUAGUCAGAACCAAACUUCCUGCUUUCCCUUUAAUUUUAUGGUCGAUAUGACCACAUUUAUCCUACAUGUAUACACUAAAAAUGACCAAAAUCUGUAUUUAUUUACAUCAUUUAAACCUGGCUGAAUGCAGAAAGUGUUUUCAAAUAAAGAAUGACCUAGA